CUUCCUCUGAAAUCUGAGUUAUUGCAAAAUGUAUGAAAGGGAUCGCACCGCCAGGACAGGAGCGUGAGGGCGCGGGCAAGCGUUUCCCCCCUACCGGAAA